rnacentral:rRNA from 1 species
GCGAUCAUACAAGCACUAAUGCACCAGAUCCCAUCAGAACUCUGAAGUUAAGCGUGCUAAGACGAAAGCAGAAAUAAGAUGGGUGAUCCCCUGGGAAGUCCUCAUAUUGUACCU